UCUCUGGUUGAUCCUGCCAGUAGUCAUAUGCUUGUCUCAAAGCUUAAGCCAUGCAAGUGUCAGUACAUACUAAAUUAAAGUGAAACCGCAA
rfam:Rhodnius prolixus Rhodnius_prolixus-3.0.3-9521.1, whole genome shotgun sequence.